rnacentral:lncRNA from 1 species
AAAUUAUACAAAUUUCAGCCUAACUUGACUUCUCUUUUGACCUAGGUGUCUGAGUGUAGAGAAAAGCAGGAAGAAAAGCCUGGUUGCUGUUUGCCCUAAAGCUUCAGCAGAUGGAGAACUGAAUGUCAUCUUCCAGUCGCUGCUGGGGAUUUUAAUGGGAAUGUAUCCUACACGAACGUCUUCCUCACCAGCCUGGUCCAUGGGAUGGGCCCUCAGCCUCACCAGGUCGCAUUUCCUUUGGGAUUGCUCCUGACUACGCCGUCUCCAUGCCAGCGGCGGGCAGUCGCGAGGCCGACCUUCAUGGGACCGCUGGGCGCGUCUGCAGCAAAGAGGAAUCUGCUCCUUCCCCCUCGGACUUCACUGAGCCGGAAAACUAC